rnacentral:piRNA from 2 species
UAAGAACAACGGUUUGAUUCCCAGCAACC